AGAGCUCAAAUUUAAAAUCUGUCAGUCUUUGGCUGGCUGAGUUGUAAAUUAGAGAAGUGCUAUCAGUGCUGGCCUGUGCAAAAGUCUCUUGGAAAAGAGCAUCAUAGAGGGUGACAAUCCCGUCUUUGGUACAGAUCUCCAGUGCUUCCAUGAUGCGCUCUCGAUGAGUCGAGUUGUUUGGGAAUGCAGCUCUAAAUGGGUGGUAAAUUCCAUCUAAAGCUAAAUAUUGGCGAGAAACCGAUAGCGCA
rnacentral:rRNA from 1 species